rnacentral:rRNA from 1 species
CCUACGGGAGGCAGCAGUGGGGGAUAUUGCACAAUGGGGGAAACCCUGAUGCAGCGACGCCGCGUGGGUGAAGAAGCGCCUCGGCGCGUAAAGCCCUGUCAGCAGGGAAGAAAAUGACGGUACCUGAAGAAGAAGCCCCGGCUAACUACGUGCCAGCAGCCGCGGUAAUACGUAGGGGGCAAGCGUUAUCCGGGUUUACUGGGUGUAAAGGGGGCGCAGACGGCGAUGCAAGCCAGGAGUGAAAGCCCGGGGCCCAACCCCGGGACUGAUCUUGGAACUGCGUGGCUAGAGUGCAGGAGGGGCAGGCGGAAUGCCUGGUGUAGCGGUGAAAUGCGUAGAUAUCAGGAGGAACACCGGUGGCGAAGGCGGCCUGCUGGACUGCAACUGACGUUGAGGCCCGAAAGCGUGGGGAGCAAACAGGAUUAGAUACCCCAGUAGUC